UCGCCCAUGAAGCUGCGUGAUAAGGAUAAUUCUCCUCCUGAAAAAGCUGCUGGAGAUCGUUCUAAUGGCUCUAAGAGCCGUUCUGAUGGCUUGGAUAUUCGAAACAAAGACCAAGAGAGAAUGAGGGAAAAGCCCUCUGAAAGGGAUUGUUGUCACCUUCACUGAACAAAGAAUCUGGUGAGAAGUUACAGACAUCUCACUCCGUUGAAGGUAGAAAAUCUGGUGAUAAGGAUCAUUCUCGAGAUAGUAGUUCCGACGGCACAGAUCUGAAGUCACACAAAGAUCUGUGGAGAAGGUUGAUCAUAGUAAACACAGCAGCUUGUCUGAAACAGGUUCUGAGGAAAGUGAUAAGCACAUUAAUGAUCGCAAAAGGAGAAGAAAAGGCGCAAAAGAUUAGAUAAGCGA